CAUGUGAGAUCGCUGUCUUUUAUUUCCAGUUACCCCCAAGUCUCCUAACUAAAGCGUCUCCUCCCUGAUGAGGGUGAUCACUGGCUACAAGCCUGGGGCUUCCACACCCAAGGUCUGGGAAGCUGCUCUUUCCGGAAGGGUGGUAGAGACCCUGGGAACCAGACCAGGCGGGCUCACAAAGUAUGAAGAGAAUGUCGGGAGAGGAAGUGGUGGCUCUGAGUCAGCACGAGUCAUCUGGUUCUAGUGACAAUGAAGACUGAGGCAAGCUGCGCAUAUCUUGGGAUCUUCACAGCACAGUGGCUGGGAAGGCAGGCGAACUUGUCUAUCAGCUUCUCCCUGAAUAACUGGGAGCUGAAACAGGAAGCCCCAUGACACAGUUGAUCGAAAAUGACACAGACACAGAAAAAUCAGGACGUGCCCCCAGCAGCACCCCUACCUGCUGCCUGCUGAUCACGGCUGAGAGGCCCGCCCAGGGUUUCCACCCGGGAAUGGACUAACUACUCAGUGCUCAAGGGUGAUGGGCCUGCAGAGCUUUGGUGAUGUUCUUUUACAGCUGGUUUGUUAUCUUUUAAUUAAUCAACUAAUUAAUCUAUUAUUACUUUAUUUAUCGGCCCUCCCCCAUGUCUUGAUCCUUUUCUUCAUUAAAAGCAAAAGGAAAGAAAA